rnacentral:rRNA from 1 species
GGAAGGACGUGGCAAGCUGCGAAAAGCUACGGUGAGCCGCAAGCAGGCGUUGACCCGUAGAUCUCCGAAUGGGGGAACCCACCUGGCGGUAAGGCCAGGUAUCCAUGUCUGAACACAUAGGGCAUGGAGGGGAACCCGGGGAACUGAAACAUCUUAGUACCCGGAGGAAAAGAAAGAAAGAUCGAUUCCCUGAGUAGCGGCGAGCGAAAGGGGAGGAGCCCAAACCGCACUGGCUUAUGCUAGUACGGGGUUGAGGACCGGCCGGAUAGGUCAAGUGCGGCUAGCCGAACCACCUGGAAAGGUGGGCCAGAGAAGGUGACAGCCCUGUAGGCGAAAGCUGGCAGUUGGCCUGGUCGGGAUCCAGAGUACCACGGGACACGAGGAAUCCUGUGGGAAGCAGGGAGGACCACCUCCCAAGGCUAAAUACUCCCUGGUGACCGAUAGCGAAGGAGUACCGUGAGGGAAAGGUGAAAAGCACCCCGGGAGGGGAGUGAAAUAGGACCUGAAACCCUGUGUCUACAAGCAGUGGGAGCGCGAGGUGCGCGACCGCGUACUUUUUGCAGAACGGGCCGGCGAGUUACAGUGGCAUGCGAGGUUAAGGGCUUUGAAGGCCUGGAGCCGUAGGGAAACCGAGUCCGAAUAGGGCGAGUAAGUAUGCUGCUGUAGACCCGAAACCAGGUGAUCUAUCCAUGGGCAGGGUGAAGCGGGAGUAAGAUCUCGUGGAGGCCCGAACCCACUGGUGUUGAAAAACCAGGGGAUGACCUGUGGAUAGGGGUGAAAUGCCAAGCGAACCUGGAGAUAGCUGGUUCUCCCCGAAAUAGCUUUAGGGCUAGCCUCAAGUGAAGAGCCGUGGAGGUAGAGCACUGAAUGGGCUAGGGGGCGAGAGCUUACCGAACCUUAUCAAACUCCGAAUGCCACGGCUUGAUGCUUGGGAGUCAGACUACGGGAGAUAAGUUUCGUAGUCGAGAGGGGAACAGCCCAGAUCACCGGCUAAGGUCCCAAAGUUCAGGUUAAGUGGUAAAGGAUGUGGGACUGCGAAGACAACCAGGAUGUUGGCUUAGAAGCAGCCAUGCAUUUAAAGAGUGCGUAAUAGCUCACUGGUCGAGCGGUCCUGCGCCGAAAAUGUUCGGGGCUCAAACCUGACACCGAAGCCGUGGGUUCUGCCGAUAAGGUAGAGCGGUAGGGGAGCAUCGUAUACAGGGCAGAAGCCCGACCGGAAGGCAGGGUGGACUGUAUACGAGAGAGAAUGCCGGCAUGAGUAGCGAGAGGGUGGUGAGAAUCCACCCCGUCGGAAGCCUAAGGAUUCCUGAGGAAGGUUCGUCCGCUCAGGGUAAGUCGGGACCUAAGCUGAGGGCGAGAGCCGUAGGCGAUGGGUAAUCGGUUGAGAUUCCGAUACCACCUGUACCCGACAGAGAGAGGCAGUGACACAGGAGGGCAGGCAGAGCGAGCUGAUGGUAGGGCUCGUCCAAGCGGCGAGGCAGGCGAGUGAGUGAAGUACCACUUGCCGUAAAUGCUGAGCCGUUAAGGGGACCGAAGGUAAGUAGGGAAGCUGCCGGGCUCACACUGGCGAGAAAAGCUGCUAUCGAGGGUGCAGGUGCCCGUACCGCAAACCGACACAGGUAGGCGAGGAGAGGAUCCUAAGACGAGCGGGGGAACCCUUGUCAAGGAACUCGGCAAACUGACCCCGUAACUUCGGGAGAAGGGGUGCCCACCGGGAGGUGGGUUGCAGAGAACAGGCCCAAGCGACUGUUUAACAAAAACACAGGUCUCUGCUAACUCGUAAGAGGAAGUAUAGGGGCUGACGCCUGCCCAGUGCUGGAAGGUUAAGGGGAAGGGUUAGCGUAAAGCGAAGCUCUGAACCGAAGCCCCAGUGAACGGCGGCCGUAACUAUAACGGUCCUAAGGUAGCGAAAUUCCUUGUCGGGUAAGUUCCGACCUGCACGAAAGGCGUAACGACUUGGGCGCUGUCUCGACAAGGGGCCCGGCGAAAUUGUAGUACCAGUGAAGAUGCUGGUUACCCGCGACUGGACGGCAAGACCCCGUAGAGCUUUACUGCAGCCUGAUAUUGGACUUUGGCAUUGGAUGUACAGGAUAGGUGGGAGGCAGGGAAUCAUAGACGCCAGUCUAUGAGGAGCCGACGGUGGGAUACCACCCUUUCAGUGCUGGGGUUCUAACCGCUGGCCGUUAUCCGGCAGCGGGACAGUGUCAGGUGGGCAGUUUGACUGGGGCGGUCACCUCCUAAAGGGUAACGGAGGUGCCCAAAGGUCCUCUCAGGAUGGUUGGGAACCAUCUGGUGAGUGCAAAGGCAGAAGGGGGCCUGACUGUGAGAGGGACACCUCGAGCAGGGACGAAAGUCGGGCUUAGUGAUCCGGCGGUAUCGAGUGGGAGAGCCGUCGCUCAACGGAUAAAAGCUACCUCGGGGAUAACAGGCUGAUCUCCCCCAAGAGUCCACAUCGACGGGGAGGUUUGGCACCUCGAUGUCGGCUCGUCGCAUCCUGGGGCUGGAGCAGGUCCCAAGGGUUGGGCUGUUCGCCCAUUAAAGCGGCACGUGAGCUGGGUUCAGAACGUCGUGAGACAGUUCGGUCCCUAUCCGUCGCGGGCGCAGGAAAUUUGAGGGGAGCCGUCCCUAGUACGAGAGGACCGGGAUGGACGUACCGCUGGUGAACCAGUUGUCACGCCAGUGGCACAGCUGGGUAGCUAAGUACGGAAGGGAUAAACGCUGAAGGCAUCUAAGCGUGAAGCCCACCCCAAGAUAAGAUUUCCCAUCCGGUAAGCGGAGUAAGGCCCCUCGAAGAAGACGAGGUAGAUAGGUCCGGGGUGUAAGUGCAGCAAUGCACUUAGCUGACGGAUACUAAUAGGCCGAGGGCUUGAUCGA